UACAGAGGUGGCAAGCGUUGUUCGGAAUUACUGGGCGUAAAGGGCGCGUAGGCGGCCAUCUAAGUCAGACGUGAAAUCCCCCGGCUUAACCUGGGAACUGCGUCUGAUACUGGACGGCUGGAGUUUGGGAGAGGGAUGUGGAAUUCCAGGUGUAGCGGUGAAAUGCGUAGAUAUCUGGAGGAACACCGGUGGCGAAGGCGGCAUCCUGGACCGACAUUGACGCUGAGGCGCGAAAGCCAGGGGAGCAAACGGG
rnacentral:rRNA from 1 species